GCGUCGAGCACAAAGCGAACUAUUCUUUCGCCUUUUACUAAAGAAUACCGUGUGCGCGUCGCUUCAAAUGGCAUACGCCUAUUUUUGGAGGGGCGCACCUCUGUGGGUGCCCCUAUAGUUGUAGUUUAAAUUAUUUGAGUUUUAACUUAUUGGCCGUCUGGUCAUUUGUUAAUAAAUUAAAUGAAGUGUUGUAGUUUAUUAAUUUGUUAAUAAAUUAUUUUGGAUUUUCGUCCUAUGAGAAUAUUUGAUUGAUUGAUUCCGUUUUCUUCUGCAUCUCUUUCUCCAUGCAAAAUGGAUCGAAAUAAGAGGACUACAUCUGGGAGGUGUUGCCCCAAGGCCCUUCAAUGCCUAAGUUAGUUCAAGAAUUUGUAAAAAACUAAUAGCUAACUAAAAGGGGACGGAGUUGUAUGUAUGGUAUGAACCGGCUAGC
rnacentral:lncRNA from 1 species